rnacentral:lncRNA from 1 species
UUUUUCUUUUCCUUUUUUGCCAGAUCCAGGGUGAGAAAUCCUUUGAAAUAAGCUCGGAGGAGCUGCCCACAGCUGGUUAACUUUAGGGAGCGUCCUCUCUGCCCUCCUCGCCCUCCAAGGAUCUCCUUUAAAAGCUUUUGAAAGGGACUGGAGGGGAGGCAGCAACAGCCUGCUCCGGGCCGGUGCAGCAGAGGGCGGCCAGCAUUUCACUCCCAUGGACCAUGGCAACCCCAGAAGCUUUGCAGCUCCUGGAAGGAAUUUGCAGCUGUGGGUGAAGCCCAG